GUGGGUACAGCUCAGUGGUAGAGUGUGUGCUUAGCAUGCAUGAGGUCCUGGGUUCAAGCCCCAGUAUCUCCA
rnacentral:tRNA from 1 species